UACAGAGGCCCCAAGCGUUACUGAGAAUCACUGGGUUUAAAGGGUGCGUAGGUGGUGCGUUAAGUCCGUUGUGAAAUCCCCGAGCUCAACUCGGGAACUGCUUCGGAUACUGGCGCACUUGAGGCCGGUAGGGGUCACUGGAACAGACGGUGGAGCGGUGAAAUGCGUAGAUAUCGUCUGGAACGCCGGUGGUGAAGACGGGUGACUGGGCCGGUUCUGACACUGAGGCACGAAAGCGUGGGGAGCGAACGGG
rnacentral:rRNA from 1 species